CAUGUGCAGUUGGUUCUAGCUUUUUGAAAAGAUUUAUUUAUUCUGUAUGUAUUAGUGUUUUCCCUGCAUUCAUGUCUGUCCAUUGUGUGCAUGCAGCACCAAUGGAGGCCAUCAGGGGUGUCAGAUCUCCUAGAACUGGAGCUACAGGUGAUUGUGAGCUACUGUGCUGCUGAGGAUCCAACCUGGGUCCUUAGCAAGAGCACUAAUUAUUCUUAGUCACUGAAUCAUCUCUCCAGCUCUGGGUUCUAGUUUUUGGACACAUAGUACGAGUCACUGGCUGACCACCUUAUUAGACCAUUCCAUAACCCUAUAUCCCACCUUCAACCAUAUUGAAUAUUCCUUUCAACUGCACCCCCCUGCUGUCCUAUUCUGUAAGUCUUCCUCCCCUAAGUAGCAAAUUGUUUCUCUUCUGUGCACCCUGACCUUUCAACUCCUCUCUGUGCCCUGGCUUGAUUCUUGCACAGAAUUAAUUUCACCAUCAAUAUUUUGUUUAGGCUGCUCUUGUAAUACUCACCUCAGUAUAAUUUGGUCUGAGUUAGCAAAAAUUAGUCAUUUGUAUACAUUAUUAUUCUCACUGAGUGUCUUUAGUGUUCAAGGUUUGAAGUAUGCUGAAUUAGCCUCAGAUUGGAGCUGGUUAACAACGAGACUAUCAAAGAAAGGCAAAAUCCUGUCUUCUGAAAGCAAGAUGUGCCAAGAAAGCUUGGGAGCAGACAUGUCAGCUGCCAAUCCCCAUCCAAAGGUACGAAUUGGCUCUGGAAAUGCUCGAGGGAGAAGUGGCAGAGUCCCUUUACAUAAACUUGUGGACGCCAAAAGUCUGAGCCCGGUGUUUUAUGUUGUGGAAGUUAAGAAGACAUCAAUUUAGCUGGAAAGGGCCAUCUAUCCAGGUUCCUCGAAGCUGGCACACUCCACCUCUGCUACAUCUACUCAAAGCUGGCUGGCUGGCUACUGUGAACACUGAAUUAGAUAGCUUGAGUAACUCCACACUUACCCUCCUUAGUCAAGGCAGGAAGGAGCAGGGGUGUAGGUCAGAAGAUCUGGGCUCUGCUGUUUGACCUGAGACAAACUGAGGAACCAGCUCGAUCUUCACUCUCCGCCAAACUUUUAAAUGAGGCUGGCAUUUUCUUCUGGGGAUGACUAAAGAAGUUUUAAAAAUGAAAGAACACCUGAAAUCACCUGGUACACAAUAGUCAGGUGAAUGUUAAGAAGCCUUGAAUUGUUAAGAAGCCCAGCAUUGCAAAAAUUAAAAUAAACAAUGCAUUAUAUGAAUACUA